rnacentral:sRNA from 1 species
AAGGUUCGACUCGAGCGUAGCGAGAGAACGUUGCCGCAGGCAACGGCCCGAAGGGCGAGGCGCUUUAGCGCCGAGUUAUCCUUCCCCCACCAUUC